rnacentral:rRNA from 1 species
GAUGAACGCUAGCGGCAGGCCUAAUACAUGCAAGUCGGACGGGAUCCAUUGAUAGCUUGCUAUCAAUGGUGAGAGUGGCGCACGGGUGCGUAACGCGUGAGCAACCUGCCUCCAUCAGGGGGAUAGCCUCUCGAAAGAGAGAUUAACACCGCAUAAUAUCAACAGUUCGCAUGUUCAGUUGAUUAAAUAUUUAUAGGAUGGAGAUGGGCUCGCGUGACAUUAGCUAGUUGGUAGGGUAACGGCUUACCAAGGCGACGAUGUCUAGGGGCUCUGAGAGGAGAAUCCCCCACACUGGUACUGAGACACGGACCAGAAUCCUACGGGAGGCAGCAGUAAGGAAUAUUGGUCAAUGGGCGGAAGCCUGAACCAGCCAUGCCGCGUGCAGGAUGACUGCCCUAUGGGUUGUAAACUGCUUUUGUCCAGGAAUAAACCUAAAUACGAGUAUUUAGCUGAAUGUACUGGAAGAAUAAGGAUCAGCUAACUCCGUG